UACAGAGGUCUCAAGCGUUGUUCGGAUUCAUUGGGCGUAAAGGGCUCGUAGGCGGCCAACUAAGUCGGACGUGAAAUCCCUCGGCUUAACCGGGGAACUGCGUCCGAUACUGGAUGGCUAGAGUUCGGGAGAGGGAUGCGGAAUUCCAGGUGUAGCGGUGAAAUGCGUAGAUAUCUGGAGGAACACCGGUGGCGAAGGCGGCAUCCUGGACCGACACUGACGCUGAGGAGCGAAAGCCAGGGGAGCAAACGGGG
rnacentral:rRNA from 1 species